rnacentral:rRNA from 1 species
GACCAAAGAGGGGGACCUUCGGGCCUCUUACCAUCAGAUGUGCCCAGAUGGGAUUAGCUAGUAGGUGGGGUAACGGCUCACCUAGGCGACGAUCCCUAGCUGGUCUGAGAGGAUGACCAGCCACACUGGAACUGAGACACGGUCCAGACUCCUACGGGAGGCAGCAGUGGGGAAUAUUGCACAAUGGGCGCAAGCCUGAUGCAGCCAUGCCGCGUGUAUGAAGAAGGCCUUCGGGUUGUAAAGUACUUUCAGCGGGGAGGAAGGGUUGAGGUUAAUAACCU